CGCGCACGCCGCACGCGCACGCCGCACGCGCACGCCGCACGCCGGCUUGGCUUGCCUGUAACGGGCUAGGCGUGGCUUUGUGUUCCUAGCUUGGCUUGGUGUUCGUAGCUUGGCUUGGCCUUAGUCGCUUUGCCUGGAGUUUCUUGCUUGGAUUGGCAUUUCCUCCCUCGCAUUCCUUUGCUGGGCUUGACCUUUUCUUUGCUGGGUGGUGGCUGAGGAGGAGCGGCAAGAGCAACGUGGGUGCUUGGGAAGACUACGACGACAGCGCCUUCAUGGAGCCCCGGUACCACGUCCGUCAAGAAGAUAUGGGCAAGCUCCACAGAGCUGCCUGAUGGGGUAAAGUCCCCAGAAAGGAUCUCAUCUACAUGCUCAGGGGCACUGAAGUGAACAAGAGGGACAAGCAAAAGAGGUAACCGGGCCUGGGCUGGG
rnacentral:lncRNA from 1 species